GGUCGCAUAGUCUAGUGGUUAUGAUAUCUGCUUUACAGACGCAGAGGGUCUCAGGUUCGAUCCCUGAUGCGACCA
rnacentral:tRNA from 1 species